CAACCCUCAGGGCCCCUAGGGGACCUGGUGUUGGGGCCGGCCGCCCGCGCCGCCCCCGAAAUGCAGUGGCGACCCCGCCGCAGCCUCCCCUGCGUAGUAGCACAACCUCGCACCGGAGCGCGGAGGCGGUCACGCCGUAAAACGCCCAACCUUCUCAAGAG
rnacentral:misc_RNA from 1 species